AGAAACUUAGGUUAACUAAAACCAAAGACCUUCAAAGUCCAAAAUAAGAGAUAAAUCUCCUAGUUUCUG
rnacentral:tRNA from 1 species